GAUGAACGCUGGCGGCGUGCCUAAUACAUGCAAGUCGAGCGAACAGACGAGGAGCUUGCUCCUCUGACGUUAGCGGCGGACGGGUGAGUAACACGUGGAUAACCUACCUAUAAGACUGGGAUAACUUCGGGAAACCGGAGCUAAUACCGGAUAAUAUAUUGAACCGCAUGGUUCAAUAGUGAAAGACGGUUUUGCUGUCACUUAUAGAUUGAUCCGCGCCGCAUUAGCUAGUUGGUAAGGUAACAGCUUACCAAGGCAACGAUGCGUAGCCGACCUGAGAGGGUGAUCGGCCACACUGGAACUGAGACACGGUCCAGACUCCUACGGGAGGCAGCAGUAGGGAAUCUUCCGCAAUGGGCGAAAGCCUGACGGAGCAACGCCGCGUGAGUGAUGAAGGUCUUCGGAUCGUAAAACUCUGUUAUUAGGGAAGAACAAAUGUGUAAGUAACUAUGCACGUCUUGACGGUACCUAAUCAGAAAGCCACGGCUAACUACGUG
rnacentral:rRNA from 1 species